AGACUGCUUGUAGAAUAAAUAAAU
rnacentral:siRNA from 1 species